AUGGGAUCUGCACUGUUGUCGAUGGUGCGGAUGAUGAAGCCGAAGAAGGACGGCGCGCCGCCCGCCUUCGUGCACGACCUGCACCGCGAGUACCAAAUUCUCCAGGAACGCUCCGUGUGCGGGUGCGGCAGCCAAUCGCUGCCGCACCACGGGACGACGGCGACUCCUUGCCGCCAGCGCACCGAAGAGGAGCGCGACGCCUCCAUCAUCUGCCACGUCCACCUCGCUCUCCGUCACUACAACGCCACCAACCCGGGCUCGGAGUUCGUUCCCGUCAAGCCUCUCAUGGCCGCGUACGUGGGUUUCCAAAGCCACAUCUGGGUCCACGUGGGCUUCGUGGCUCACAGGAAGAAGAUCGCCAGCAGCAAACGGAGGCGGAACCAGGCCAACGACACGGACAAGACCUUCUUCGCGGAGCUGCGCUACAGCCACCACUCCGGCGCGCCGGCCGUCGAAACAUGCACCAUCAUCGAGAAGUCGUCGCGCAAAAGCCACUUAAAAACCGCGUGUGCAUUUUGCCCCGAAAGCUUUCAGAUUUUGCACCCACUUGACGGAAGCUUCCUGUGCGGAAAGAAGAGCCAGGCAAACGAAGGGCAGGGUUUCAUACAUUUCACGAACCUGCUUGAGUUACCGUUCACAUGCCCCAUGGCCAGUGGACAAGGCAAGGAGGAUGCGGCAGCCCCAGAGGAGGAGGAGGAGCAUAGUAGCGUCCUAAGCUGGGCCGCCCUCCCCUUUCUUCUCGGUUAUCUUUGCCGGUCUUUGAUGAUAAGCAUCUGGACUAGAUCAGGGGCAAAGCUAGCGAGAAGUUAA
rnacentral:rRNA from 1 species